CAAUGCUCCACGGAACACAAGCUACCGGUGGAGGAGGCAACAGCAGCUCCUCUGGUGGUUUCUGUCUUGGUGUCUUGGUGCCAGUGACACCUGUGGACACACGAGCGUGGAACGAGAAUUGCUGAAGGCUCU